AUGAACGCUGGCGGCGUGCCUAAUCCAUGCAAGUCGCGCGAACGGACGAGAAGCUUGCUUCUCUGAUGUUAGCGGCGGACGGGUGAGUAACACGUGGAUAACCUACCUAUAAGACUGGGAUAACUUCGGGAAACCGGAGCUAAUACCGGACAAUAUUUUGAACCGCUUGGUUCACAAGUGAAAGACGGUCUUGCUGUCACUUAUAGAUGGAUCCGCGCUGCAUUAGCUAGUUGGUAAGGUAACGGCUUACCAAGGCAACGAUGCAUAGCCGACCUGAGAGGGUGAUCGGCCACACUGGAACUGAGACACGGUCCAGACUCCUACGGGAGGCAGCAGUAGGGAAUCUUCCGCAACGGGCGAAAGCCUGACGGAGCAACGCCGCGUGAGUGAUGAAGGUCUUCGGAUCGUAAAACUCUGUUAUUAGGGAAGAACAUAUGUGUAAGUAACUGUGCACAUCUUGACGGUACCUAAUCAGAAAGCCACGGCUAACUACGUG
rnacentral:rRNA from 1 species